rnacentral:rRNA from 2 species
CCUACGGGAGGCAGCAGUAGGGAAUCUUCCACAAUGGACGCAAGUCUGAUGGAGCAACGCCGCGUGAGUGAAGAAGGUUUUCGGAUCGUAAAGCUCUGUUGUUGGUGAAGAAAGAUAGUGAGAGUAACUGCUCAUUAUUUGCCGGUAAUCAACCAGAAAGUCACGGCUAACUACGUGCCAGCAGCCGCGGUAAU